rnacentral:rRNA from 1 species
AGCGAACGCUGGCGGCAGGCUUAACACAUGCAAGUCGAGCGGGCACUUUCGGGUGUCCGCGGCGGACGGGUGAGUAACGCGUGGGAACGUGCCCUCUGGCUCGGAAUAACUCAGGGAAACUUGAGCUAAUACCGGAUACGCCCUUUUGGGGAAAGGCUUGCUGCCGGAGGAUCGGCCCGCGUCUGAUUAGCUAGUUGGUGAGGUAACGGCUCACCAAGGCGACGAUCAGUAGCUGGUCUGAGAGGAUGAUCAGCCACACUGGGACUGAGACACGGCCCAGACUCCUACGGGAGGCAGCAGUGGGGAAUAUUGGACAAUGGGCGCAAGCCUGAUCCAGCCAUGCCGCGUGAGUGACGAAGGCCUUAGGGUUGUAAAGCUCUUUUAUCCGGGACGAUAAUGACGGUACCGGAGGAAUAAGCCCCGGCUAACUUCGUG